ACUCUCAGCACGGGGAGGUGGUGACGAAAAAUACCGAUGCGGGACUCCCAAACGAGGCUCCGUAAUCGGAAUGAGUCAACUAUAAAUCCUUUAACGAGGAUCAAUUGGAGGGCAAGUCUGGUGCCAGCAGCCGCGGUAACUCCAGCUCCAAUAGCGUAUAUUAAAGUUGCUGCAGUUAAAAAGCUCGUAGUUGGAUCUCGGUAUUAUUGUUGCCUGCUGGCUUUAGAGGCACUAGCUGGCCUAGCGGUGCAUGGGUGAGCCUGUGCAGCGUGGGGUCGGCGGCCUUGGGUCGGCGUGGCGGCGGUGAUACCUUUCAGCCAUGUCUGUGGUGCAAUAUCCACAGGUGUAGGCGAGUGCCAGGCGGUGCCCUGCAACUGUGGGGUUCGUCGGCUUGUCUGCAUGCCUACGGAUGCCCUUUAAAAGGUGUCUGUGGGCGGAUGGCACGUUUACUUUGAACAAAUUUGAGUGCUCAAACCAGGCCGAUGCUGCCUGA
rnacentral:rRNA from 1 species